rnacentral:lncRNA from 1 species
UACAAAAUAGACAAUCACUCUUGUUUCCGAAAAACACUGUCGGAAACAACAAGAGUGAUUGUUUGUUUAUUUUGAAGUGGCCUCAAUUUGUAGUUGUCAGAAAAACUGCUAGAGGGCGCUCAUUACUGGAAAAAGCUCCAUUGUAGAGCAGUGCGCUGGCCAUGGAAAUGGGCAGCACUGGCUUCCUCAUGGUGCCAUUGUCUAGCACGUUAGAGUGGCCAAGCGGGCACAGGAGGCAUGCGUGAAGCAGGCAACGUCCAUCCAGGCAACGCACGGGGGAAGAAGCAAGGAAGGCGGCAUUACACGCUUACUGGGGAAGGCGGCCGCGCUGUUGUUGCCCUGUGCCUGCAGCGCAGCCGAGGCCACGCCUCCGCCCGGCAGCAAGCCUGGGGUGCCCAGCCGCAUGCGUUGGCAGAGGCAGAGCACCCCGACGCACAGCACCAGGCAGGACACGAGCACCACCAGCGUCAGCGUCACAAACAGGCUCACGCCCAGGCCCAGGAUCUGGCUGCUCGAUGUUUCGUCUGCGUGAAAGGCCGUUUGUCCGCUUAGCGCAAGACAUAUGGGCCACCAAAAAUGCUCUCAAGAGAGCCUUCAUGUGGCACGGUGCAGUGCUGCAAGGCAGUUCGAAUCCUCAUUCUCCACACACUCGAAAAAAAAAAGGAGGAAAAUGAUUAUGCUUUUUAGAAAUGCGUUAUUAGAAGUACAGUAGCAAUAAGCAAUAGGAUGUGCACUGUGGAAACAAUUGUAAUCAGUGUUUGCUUUUUUUAACAACUCGUAGUAUGUUUUCAACCUGUUCAACUUUUUGCUCCAUAUAUAAAAACCUAACACUGGGAACAGAUAAAAAGAAAAAAAACGAAACCGUGUGUGUGUUGCUUGUCCAUUUGUUUUUAUAUGUUCCCAGUCUGGGGUUUUUCCUGCGUUUUUCCACUCUUCGUUGCUUUUUGUUGCAAAGCUGGUAGCAAUUUACUGGCGUUCCAAGACCUGAAAGCUGUGGAUUAUUGUUGAAACACGAGACUGAUGGGAGGAGAGAGGACGAAAGGUCUUACUCCCAUUUAGACGUGGGGCCCUGCCCAACAAGUGACUUGUGCGGGUGCUACAGAAAACACAGGUGCAAGCCCGGUACACAGCCUUGAGUUGAAACAGAUUGCUUCUAGAAAGUUGCAAGCAGAAACCUGUCUUUUAUCCAGAGAUGUAUGGAUAAAACCCUGUAUUGGGUACAUUGUAGGUCUGCGAGGUACACACAUCCACUGCGUGACAAUGAGUGAUUAGGACAGGGCUACCUACCUAAACAACUGGUGCUAUUGUUUGCUCUACCUUAAAUAGGGAACGACCUAAGGCCUCGCCAGUUGGCAAACGUCUGCAAGUGACCAAAAAGCGCACCAAUGCAGGAGGCGUAGCCGGUCUCGUCACUGUUGUCCCCGCAGUGGUUCACUCCGUCGCAGGUCAAGUUGCUCGAGAUGCAGAAGGUGUUGCGGCACUCGAAUUCCCUGCACUUGAGGUCGUGCUUGAUGUCUGCAGCCGCCAAAGAAAGAAAAUGACAAAUGAGCUAGUCAACUUCCAAACAAAAACAAAGCGCUUUGUGGUCCCCCACCUUUGUCUUUUUGUGGUGCUUUUCGAAGCACUGCAAGAAUAAACUGCACCCAAAUUAUUCCCAAUUAUUCUGCUUGCCAAGUGAUACUACUGCUAGUUAUAUUCUGAUUUUGUUAAUCUGGCGUCGAGCUCGUGCUGAGACACAGCCGUAGUCACCAUUUCAAGAAGGGUCGGCUAAUCUAUCUUUUUUCAUCCCUUAUUAUCGAGUGUUUCAAACAUUCAUAGAUUUUAAAAAUCGGCAACACAUGCAAUCUAAAUGAAACCCAUUAAAUAUAUUCGUGACAUAAUUACGCCUUAUAUCUUGUAUGCACCUUUAAUGUGUGGUGUGGAGAAUUUUCCUAAGAAAAUGAAACUUGCAAAAGGGUCAGUGCUGUGUAGGAACAGGAAUGCCCUGUCCAAUUACAGACCUCUUAUGCCUAUUUUUUCUAAGGGAUUGGAAAAGCUUAUUUUGUGUCCUUUAGAUAUGUUCUUCGUUAAACACACACCAUACUUUCCGAGUCUCAGUUUGGCUUUAGGAAGGGAAGAUCUAUAGAAUCUGCACUCCUCUUACAAAAGGAGGUAAAUAACACUGAAAACAAACUUUUGAUAUUAGGCAUUUCUAUAGGUAAAGCCUUUGAUUGUAUUAAUCACCAACUACUUGCUGACAAACCAUUAUGGCAUUCAUGGUUCAUUUGUUUCACUUUUGUCUUCAUGUUUAGAAGGAUGUAGGCAGUCUGGUCAUUUAUUGCCUCUUCUGCCGAUCAGAUAUGGUGUCCCCCAAGGUAGCUUAUUGGAGUCCUUACUCUUUAAUAUAUAUAAAUGAUAUUACUAUAAUAUUGACAAAGGCACUCAUCUUAUAAUGUAUGCAGACGACACCAAGUCUGUUCUUUUGCGAUGUGGAUGCUGAUAACUUAAUAACCGAAGGAAAUAUCAUGCUCUCCAAAUUUGCAAAAUUAAUUAAACAAAAACCAAAGCAAUUUUAUUUCUAUCAAUCAAUAAACAAGGUGUCCUAAACAAAAACUUGCCAGUUUAAUUGUUUAAUUUUAUGCUGAUUGAGCUGGUGAAAAAUCAUAAAACAUUAGGCAUUAUAUUUUCAGAAAAUUUGUCUUGAGAAAGUUAUGCAAAAUUGGCGGUGUCCUUGCUAGACGUCGUGCGAUUCUCCCCGAAAAUAUUAGAUUACAAAUAUAAUGUGCAUUAUUUAAAUCUCAAGAACUAAAUUAUUGCCAUCUUGUCUGGGAUACAACAACAAAUCAAAUCUUAAUAGAAUACUAUUACUUCAAAAGAAAGUUUUGCGCUCUAUCGGAAACGUUUAUUCUUUUAGAAAUACAAAAUUAUCAACAUAUAUCAAUUGUAUGAAUAUCUCCUGACUAGGUCACCUAGUUUUUUAUCCCCCGAAGUCAUUAGUUUUUUAAGCAUACAUUAAAUUUAACCAGAAAUACACCCACUAUCUGAACCCACUCCUUAGAGGAAUCCAAUGUCUCUCAUUAUCAUACAAAUUAGUUUGCAAUCCCUCCAUUAGAACCAGUGUUCCUUGUUUUCUGAAUUUAAUUUUCAUCAUAUUCUGAGUUUAUGCGAGUUUUUUUUUUUUUUUUUUUUUUUUUUUCAUAUUCCCAAUUUUCCAAAAUUCAGAGUUUAAUUUUGAAGUGUUUUCUAUUUUUCGAAAAUAAAUAAUAUCUGGAUGUAAUGUGUGCUAGAUUCAAAAGAAUGCACUUGUAUCAAACAAUAUUUGGCUGGAUUUGGCGUUGGUGCCCCUGCCAUUGGCAAUACUAAUGUGUCCCACGACAGAACUUGCAAACAAGUGUAGCUUUGAUAAAUGUUGAUGGCUUAAAAUCACUAAACCCCUGGAGGUAGUCGCUGGGAAGCCCAUCCUAUUCGAUCGCCCUACGCCACGUGGGGUGGAGUGGUAAAGGGUGUAAUAUAGAAGCUUCAACUGUCCACCCCCUAUUCCCCCAUUAUGAACUCUAUAUGGUUCAUAGCUUUCACUGUUACAAAAACGCAACCCUUCCUUCCUGGUAGCACGAUAGUAUGGUGCAAGCUAGAAACCGGAGCAGUGGCUUUUGCUAUGAUCCAGAAGUACAAUGAUCACCUGUUGUCCUGAAUGAACUUUGACGAGUUAAACGGCAAGACAUCUCUUGCCAAUGAUAGGAGAUUUUAAAGGAAACUGGGAACCUAACCAAACUUAACUUAAAUCCGAAUUGAUGAAAAUUUUACCGGCAGAUGUUUUUCAGAUUUAUCCGAGAACAUGGAGCCCUAAUUAUAACCUACUUACAUUACUCAAUAAAUAUUGCAUAGAUAUAUCAUUGACAUUUAUAGUUAAAGAAUGGAAAUCACCAUACCUACUUUUUGUAUAAUAUAUAGGGUGUUUGAAAUGCCGAGGCUGGAUUUAUAAUGGGCCGUAAAAAUCAGUGCCUGCACGUAGCAGUCUAAACUUUUCGUCAAAGGUGUAUUUCGCAGGUGGGUUUUACCUUGUAAAAUUACAAGGCGUAGCGCCCUUUCUGUUAAAAAGAAAAAAAUGGGGCCGAAAAACUUGCCAGGGUUAACGGCAGAUGGCAACGCAGACAAUAGUCUAGUGGCGGGGUAUGUUUGGCACGCAUAUUGAUAGACGACGCUACCUCCCAUUCCAGCUUGCUUUAAAAAAAUAUUGAGACUGCCCUUGACGACCGCGGUCUAUUAAAAUGAACCUAAUCUUUUUGUAAUGUGCCUUUGGUUUAAAAAUAAAUGGGGACAAUGAUAGCAAAAGUUGAAGUAACAAAAAUAAAAUGUGGUUGCAUUGCUGCCGACGGAUUUCGUCUGCUUUCUUUCGCUGGGGCAUGGUCAAGCUUCCAAAGAUUUGCUUCCUUUCCACAACUCGGCAUCUGUACAUGCAGAUGCAAAUAAAAUUAUUUGCGAAGAAAACUGAUGUGAACCAAAAAGCUUUAAAAAAGCAGUGUCUCUCUGCCCAUGCCCAAAGGUGACGUAUGAGAGAUGCAGCGUGCUUUGGUGGCAUGCAGAACGAUGCACUGCACCCAAGAAUUAUCUCCCAAGACUGGAAGGCACAAUUGAAAUGCUGGGAACCUCUGAGGUGACAAAAUGCCUGCUUCGAUAGCUAUCCGGUCGUCCAAGGGCAAAUAGUCCCCCUUGGUUUUCGGAUAGCAAAGUCCAGCUCUAAACUGCACUUUGAAAAAGAGUGUUCCCAAUUUGCCUCGUGCUCAACAUAAAGUGGUACCAGGAAGAGA